rnacentral:misc_RNA from 1 species
GUGUAUUAAUUACUAAAAUUCAGACAAUGCAAUGUUCAGUCCCGACUAAAAAUCAAGACGAGUUCAGUCAACUACUCGAGAGCCAUAACAGCCCCAAGUCUAUAAAAACCAACCAAAAAUGAUCCUUCCGCAGGUUCACCUACGGAAA